rnacentral:lncRNA from 1 species
AUGUGUUUUGUGGAUCUGGAGAAGGCGUAUGACCCGGUCCCCCGGGACAAACUGUGGGAGGUGCUGCGGGAGUAUGGGGUAAGGGGGUCUAUCCUCAGGGCCAUCCAAUCUCUGUACUCCCAAAGCGAGAGCUGUGUUCGCGUCCUCGGCAGCCAGUCAGUUUCGUUCUCAGUGGGUGCUGGUCUCCGCCAGGGCUGCGCCUUGUCACCAAUCCUGUUUGUGAUAUACAUGGACAGGAUAUCGAGGCGUAGUCGUGGUGGGGAGGGGUUGCAGUUCGGUGGUCUGAGGAUCUCGUCACUGCUUUUUGCAGAUGAUGUGGUCCUCAUUGGAUCAUCGGCCUGUGACCUUCAGCACUCACUGGAUCGGCUGGCGGCCGAGUGUGAAGCGGCUGGGAUGAGGAUCAGCACCGCUAAAUCUGAGGCCACAACUCUUAGCAGGAAACCGAUGGGUUGCUUACUCCGGGUAGGAAAUGACUACUUAGCCCAAGUGAAGGAGUUCAAGUACCUCGGGGUCUUGUUCGCGAGUGAGGGUACUAUGGAGCGUGAGAUUGGCCGGAGAAUCGGAGCAGCGGGGGCGGUAUUGCGUUCGCUUUACCGCACCGUUGUAACGAAAAGAGAGCUGAGCCGCAAGGCAAAGCUCUCGAUCUACCGGUCGAUCUUCGUUCCUAUCCUCACCUAUGGUCAUGAGGGCUGGGUGAUGACCGAAAGGACAAGAUCGCGGGUUCAAGCGGCCGAGAUGAGUUUUCUCAGAAGGGUGGCUGGCGUCUCCCUUAGGGAUAAGGUGAGAAGCUCAGCCAUCCGUGAGGAACUCGGAUUAGAGCCGCUGCUCCUUUACUUAGAAAGGAGUCAGCUGAGGUGGUUCGGGCAUCUGGUAAGGAUGCCCACUGGGCGCCUUCCUUGGGAGGUGUUUCAGGCACGUCCAGUUGGGAGGAGACCUCGGGCAAGACCCAGGACUAGGUGGAGAGAUUAUAUCUCAACACUGGCCUGGGAACGCCUCGGGAUCCCCCCGUCAGAGCUGGUCAAUGUGGCCCGGGAAAGGGAAGUCUGGGGCCCCCUGCUUGAGCUGCUCCCCCCGCGACCCGACCCCGGAUAA